GAGGGUAUAGCUCAGUGGUAGAGCACAUGCUCAGCACACAGGAGGUCCUGGGUUCAAUCUCCAGUAGCUACU
rnacentral:tRNA from 1 species